rnacentral:rRNA from 1 species
UACAGAGGGGGCAAGCGUUGUUCGGAAUUACUGGGCGUAAAGCGCGCGCAGGCGGUCUUCCAAGUCAGUGGUGAAAGCCCGGAGCUCAACUCCGGAACUGCCAUUGAAACUGUUAGACUUGAGGACGAGAGAGGUGAGUGGAAUUCCCAGUGUAGAGGUGAAAUUCGUAGAUAUUGGGAAGAACACCGGUGGCGAAGGCGGCUCACUGGCUCGUAUCUGACGCUCAGGCGCGACAGCGUGGGGAUCAAACAGG